GGAUGGGGCUGCGGCCGAUCAGGCCGUUGGCGAGGUAACGGCUCACCAAACCUUUGACCGGUACGGGCCAUGAGAGUGGUAGCCCGGAGAUGGACACUGAGAUAGGGGUCCAGGCCCUACGGGGCGCAGCAGGCGCGAAAACUCCACACUGUACGUAAGUACGAUGGGGUUACCUCGAGUGUAGUCUGUAAAAGAUUGCUUUUCCAUAGAGUAAUAUCCUGUGGGAAUAAGAGGGGGGCAAGACUGGUGUCAGCCGCCGCGGUAACACCAGCCCCUCGAGUGGUAGGGACUUUUAUUUGGCCUAAAGCGUUCGUAGCCGUCUGUAACCGUUGCCCGUUAAAUCCAGCGUCUCAAGCGUUGGACUGCGGGCGAUACCUUACAGAUUGAGGGUGGGAUAGGUAAGCGGUAUUUCUGGGGUAGGGGCGAAAUCCUUUGAUCCCAGGAGGACCACCAGUGGCGAAGGCUGCUUACUAGAACACGCCUGACGGUCAGGAACGAAAGCUGGGGUAGCGAACCGGAUUAGAUACCCGGGUAGUCCCAGCUGUAAACGAUGCGCGCUAGGUGUUGGGUCGGCCAUGCGCCGCCCCAGUGCCGCAGGGAAGCCGUUAAGCGCGCCGCCUGGGGAGUACGGCCGCAAGGCUGAAACUUAAAGGAAUUGGCGGGGGAGCAC
rnacentral:rRNA from 1 species